rnacentral:lncRNA from 1 species
CUUAAGUUCUCAAAAAUAUCCAAAAUAUAAUUAAAAAAACUCUAAAUCCUUAUAUAUCCUUAUGGGAUAUUAUUCUUGAACUUCAAUGAUUCAUAUCUUCCAAUUGGAGCAUUCAAACACACUCAAAUUUUACAUGAAGUUUUAAUGUACUUCAAAAAACUACUUUAGCAAAGUUUAAUUGCAAAUUCAUCACAAAUCUUAAGAUAAUACCAAAAUCCUAACAAUAGCUUCAAAUCCUAGUUUUUAUAUACCUAUGAGCAAUUUUCUUUAUAUCACACAAACUAAGUACUCAAAUAUCUCAAAUUUUAUAUAUAUAGCUUUUUAACAUAUUAAUCUAUUUUGUUUAAAAUAUUUGAGCCAAUAAU